UACGUAGGGUGCAAGCGUUAAUCGGAAUUACUGGGCGUAAAGCGUGCGCAGGCGGUUUUGUAAGUCUGAUGUGAAAUCCCCGGGCUCAACCUGGGAAUUGCAUUUGUGACUGCACGGCUAGAGUGUGUCAGAGGGGGGUAGAAUUCCACGUGUAGCAGUGAAAUGCGUAGAGAUGUGGAGGAAUACCGAUGGCGAAGGCAGCCCCCUGGGAUAACACUGACGCUCAUGCACGAAAGCGUGGGGAGCAAACAGG
rnacentral:rRNA from 1 species